rnacentral:rRNA from 1 species
UACGUAGGGUGCAAGCGUUGUCCGGAAUUAUUGGGCGUAAAGAGCUCGUAGGCGGUCUGUCGCGUCGGAUGUGAAAAUCCAGGGCUCAACCCUGGACCUGCAUUCGAUACGGGCAGACUAGGGUUCGGCAGGGGAGACUGGAAUUCCUGGUGUAGCGGUGAAAUGCGCAGAUAUCAGGAGGAACACCGGUGGCGAAGGCGGGUCUCUGGGCCGAUACUGACGCUGAGGAGCGAAAGCGUGGGGAGCGAACAGG